rnacentral:rRNA from 11 species
CUGACCUCAAAUCAGGUAGGACUACCCGCUGAACUUAAGCAUAUCAAUAA